rfam:Clostridium sp. CAG:62 genomic scaffold, scf239
GGUCCGUUGGUCAAGCGGCUAAGACGCUGCCCUCUCACGGCAGAAACAGGGGUUCGAUUCCCCUACGGACUA